rnacentral:lncRNA from 1 species
CCAGGCAAACGCAGAACAUUUUUAAAGCAGUACCAAACACUCCUACGUUAGUAAAACUUACUUAACACCCUAACUAGCAGGACAUCAUCGUUCAAACUUUCAUUUACGUUCUAAGUAAUUUCGACGCCAUUCAACCCAAAGCACAAAACCAUUAGUUAACAAGUAUAAGACAAACAAAGAGAAAACUGAAACUCCAGUUGAAACCCAGAAAGGAAAGAAAAUGUUUAAUUCAACAAAUGAAUGCAUGAAUAAGCUAAAAUCACUAACUUCAGCCAUUACCACUCAAACGUAGCCAUAGACAGACACAAGUAACAAAUUCGAAUUUCAUAAACCCUAAGCACGGAAUAAGAGACAAAAAAUAUAAAAUAAUCAGUGUGGGUAUGAAGAUUACUCACAGUGGUGGCCUGUAAGUGAGGUUGCGCUCUUCUUCUUCUGAUUCCAUAUAGCCAUCGACUUCUUCGAUCUGCAAUUCCUCGAAUUCCAGCUCUCGAAUCUGCUGGAUCUGCUGCCUCUCUCUCUCCAGUAUACUUUCUUCGUCCAUUUCUCCGCCCCUUUUCCCUUUACGAGGGUGUUGUGUCGGGAGGUUUAGCUUUAAAUGAGUUUCUGUUGGGAAUUGAAGUGCGAUUUAUAGUGUACCCGCCAUGGCCGUGAUGUUCGAGGCGGCAAACCCGCGAGGAUUUUUGUUUGUUUCCCCAUUCUCAGUUUUUGUUCGUUUCGGUUAAAAUAUUUUAGAAUAGAAAAAAAAAUUAUUAAAUCAAAAUACUAAACCGAAUCGAUUGAAAAAUCUAAUAAAACCGAAAUUAAACCGGCUGAAGUUCAUAACCAAAAGGCAACCCCAAU